GAUGAACGUUGGCGGUGUGCCUAAUACAUGCAAGUCGAACGGAGUUAAUAGCAAUAUUGACUUAGUGGCGAACGGGUGAGUAACGCGUUGGUGAUCUGCCUUGAAGUGUGGAAUAACGCUCCGAAAGGAGCGCUAAUACCGCAUGUGCUCUCAAUUUUUAGAAAGUUGAGAGGAAAGGAUUUAUUCGCUUCGAGAGGAGCCUGCGUCCCAUCAGCUGGUUGGUAAGGUAAUGGCUUACCAAGGCGAUGACGGGUAGGGGACCUGAGAGGGUGGCCCCUCACAAUGGAACUGAAACACGGUCCAUACACCUACGGGUGGCAGCAGUAGGGAAUAUUGCAAAUGGGCGAAAGCCUGAUGUAGCAACGCCGCGUGUGCGAUGAAGGUCUUCGGAUUGUAAAGCACUUUUUGAGAGGAUGAGGAAGGACGGUACUCUCAGAAUAAGUCUCGGCUAACUACGUG
rnacentral:rRNA from 1 species